rnacentral:rRNA from 1 species
GUUGUAUGGUUAAGUGACUAAGCGUACACGGUGGAUGCCUUGGCAGUCAGAGGCGAUGAAGGACGUAGUAACUUGCGAUAAGCGUAGAUGAGGCAGUAACAGCCACUUGAGUCUACGAUUUCCGAAUGGGGAAACCCACUGGCAUAAGCCAGUAUCAUUGAGUGAAUACAUAGCUCAAUGAAGCGAACCGGGAGAACUGAAACAUCUAAGUACCCCGAGGAAAAGAAAUCAACCGAGAUUCCGAAAGUAGCGGCGAGCGAAAUUGGAUUAGCCCUUAA